UUCAUUGACGCUGGGAAAUUAAGCUUUUGGAGAUACCGAAGAUAUUUUCAACCACUGGACUCUAUUCUUAUUGACUUAAAAGCAACAUAACGAAACAGUGAAGUUUCACCAAUGAUCUGUAUACUGCUGGUAGCGGGCCACGGCACCGUCUUAGAGGCUCAAAUUAAGAAUGAUGAAACAGGCUUAUACAGCCACCUGACUGGAGUACCAAAGGCUUUACUUCCUGGCGUGGGAGGAAGGAAGAUCCUCGACUUUUGGUGGGAAACCGUCAACAUGCGACAGCUUUUCACAGAAGUGUAUUUGGUGACUAAUGCGGACAAGUGAGUUCAAAUAUACCCAUUUGGUGCUAUUUUGGAAUACGG